rnacentral:rRNA from 1 species
AUUGCCCCAGUAACGGCGAGUGAAGCGGCAACAGCUCAAAUUUGAAAUCUGGCCCCCCGGCCCGAGUUGUAAUUUGGAGAGGAUGCUUUUGGCGCGGCGCCGUCCGAGUUCCUUGGAACAGGACGCCACAGAGGGUGAGAGCCCCGUACGGACGGACGCCUAACCUUUACAAAGCUCCUUCGACGAGUCGAGUAGUUUGGGAAUGCUGCUCAAAAUGGGAGGUAAAUUUCUUCUAAAGCUAAAUACCGGCCAGAGACCGAUAGCGCACAAGUAGAGUGAUCGAAAGAUGAAAAGCACUUUGAAAAGAGGGUUAAAAAGUACGUGAAAUUGUUGAAAGGGAAGCGCCUGUGACCAGACUUGCGCCCCGUGGACCAUCCGGCGUUCUCGCCGGUGCACUCUGCGGGGCGCAGGCCAGCAUCGGUUCUCCUAGGGGGAUAAAGGCCGCGGGAACGUAGCUCCUUCGGGAGUGUUAUAGCCCGUGGUGGCAUGCCCCUGGGGGGACCGAGGACCGCGCUUCGGCAAGGAUGCUGGCGUAAUGGUCACCAGCGACCCGUCUUGAAACACGGACCAAGGAGUCAAGCAUUGGGGCGAGUGUAUGGGUGCCAAACCCGCACGCGAAAUGAAAGUAAACGCAGGUGAGAGCUUCGGCGCAUCAUCGACCGAUCCUGAUGUCUUCGGAUGGAUUUGAGUAAGAGCCUUACCGCUUGGACCCGAAAGAUGGUGAACUAUGCCUGAAUAGGGUGAAGCCAGAGGAAACUCUGGUGGAGGCUCGCAGCGGUUCUGACGUGCAAAUCGAUCGUCAAAUUUGGGCAUGGGGGCGAAAGACUAAUCGAACCAUCU